rnacentral:rRNA from 1 species
GAGUUUGAUCUUGGCUCAGAUUGAACGCUGGCGGCAGGCCUAACACAUGCAAGUCGAGCGGAUGACGGGAGCUUGCUCCUUGAUUCAGCGGCGGACGGGUGAGUAAUGCCUAGGAAUCUGCCUGGUAGUGGGGGACAACGUUUCGAAAGGAACGCUAAUACCGCAUACGUCCUACGGGAGAAAGCAGGGGACCUUCGGGCCUUGCGCUAUCAGAUGAGCCUAGGUCGGAUUAGCUAGUUGGUGGGGUAAUGGCUCACCAAGGCGACGAUCCGUAACUGGUCUGAGAGGAUGAUCAGUCACACUGGAACUGAGACACGGUCCAGACUCCUACGGGAGGCAGCAGUGGGGAAUAUUGGACAAUGGGCGAAAGCCUGAUCCAGCCAUGCCGCGUGUGUGAAGAAGGUCUUCGGAUUGUAAAGCACUUUAAGUUGGGAGAAGGGCAGUAAGUUAAUACCUUGCUGUUUUUGACGUUACCGACAGAAUAAGCACCGGCUAACUCUGUGCCAGCCGCCGACCG